CGAGUGAGAAUGUUGGCAUCAGUAGCGAGAUGUGGGUGAGAAUCCCACAGGCCGAAAACCUAAGGUUUCCUCAGGAAGGUUCGUCCGCUGAGGGUUAGUCGGGACCUAAGCCGAGGCCGAAAGGCGUAGGUGAUGGACAACUGGUUGAUAUUCCAGUACCACUACCAUCGUUAUUAUCGAUGGCGUGACGCAGGAGGAUAGUGUGUGCUAGCUAUUGGAUGCUAGUCUAAGCGUUUAGGCAGUGAGAGUAGGCAAAUCCGCUCUCAUAAUGCUGAGGCGUGAUGGGGAAGGUUCUACGGGACCGAAGUACAUGAUUCCACGCUGCCAAGAAAAGCGUCUAGAGAGAGAAGUAGUGCCCGUACCGCAAACCGACACAGGUAGGUGAGGAGAGAAUCCUAAGGCCGGCGGAAGAAUUACAGUUAAGGAACUCGGCAAAUUGACCCCGUAAGUUCGCGAGAAGGGGUGCCUACGAGAGUAGGCCGCAGAGAAUAGGCCCAAGCAACUGUUUAGCAAAGACACAGGUCUCUGCUAAAGCGUAAGCUGAUGUAUAGGGGCUGACGCCUGCACGGUGCUGGAAGGUUAAGGGGAACACUUAGCGCAAGCGAAGGUGUGAACUUAAGCCCCAGUAAACGGCGGCCGUAACUAUAACGGUCCUAAGGUAGCGAAAUUCCUUGUCAGGUAAGUUCUGACCCGCACGAAUGGCGUAAUGACUUGGGCACUGUCUCAACUGUAAAUCCGGCGAAGUUGUAGUGCGAGUGAAGAUGCUCGCUACCCGCGAUUGGACGGAAAGACCCCGUAGAGCUUUAC
rnacentral:rRNA from 1 species